rnacentral:rRNA from 1 species
GUCCACGCCGUAAACGAUGUGCACUAGACUGGUGCGGUUUUGACGCCGUAUCAGUCGCAGUAAAAACGAUAAGUGCACCGCCUGGGGAGUACGGUCGCAAGGCUAAAACUCAAAUGAAUUGACGGGGGCUCACACAAGCGGUGGAGCAUGUUGCUUAAUUCGAGGCAACGCGAAGAACCUUACCUGGGCUUGACAUGUACGGAUUAACCCCUUGAAAGAGGGGCCACAGUCGCAAGACCGGAACGUGCACAGGUGCUGCAUGGCUGUCGU